rnacentral:lncRNA from 1 species
GGCGCGCGACUCACCUUGCUGCUGGGCUCCAUGGCAGCGCUGCGCUGGUGGCUCUGGCUGCGCCGGGUACGCGGGUGGCGACGGGCGUGCGAGCGGCGCUCUCCCGCUCAGGCUCGUGCUCCGGUCCGGGGACUCCCACUGCGACUCUGACUCCGACCCCCGUCGUUUGGUCUCCUGCUCCCUGGCGUGCUCACUCGGGGACCCGCGACUAGCGACCGGCACGCUCGCUGUUGCUACCUCUUGCCUCUUGCCAGAGAGCGCGCGGACCGUAGCGUUUAUAGGACCCCGGCCAUUGGCUGGCGACGCCGGUGUGUCAGGGGUGUGUGGGCAGGACCUCGGGGCGGGGCCUGGGGCCCAGCCUGUCCUGGGCGGCGCUCUGCGGGGAGGGGGUGAGGGGAGUGGCCGGGGCCGGGGCCCCCCCUAACCACUGCCUCGCUCAGGCUGCCGAUCGGCUCGUUCUCUCUGCGUUGGGACCGCGGAGGGCAUUCGCUGUGUGACUCAGGGCAAGUGUGCGCACCUCUCUGAGCCUCCGCGGCCUUCUCUAGCAAAAUGGUGGAGCCGGUACCCGGCUGUAAGGCAAGCUGGGAUGCGCGGAGUAGCGGGUGGAAAGCUGGACUGGAGUUCUCACUCGGCCGCUGGGUGACUUCGGUGCACUAGGGAUAGUAACAGUACCACCUCGUAGGGUUGUAGAAAGACCAAGUGAGUUAAUAUUUGUAAAGUGUUUAGAACAGCGUCUACUGCAUGGAAAGUAGUAUUUAUUUGUUAGAGAGACUCCAGGAGGUCUUGCCCAGGGAUUGACUUCUCCCUUCCCUGUCUCCACCCCCCACAUUCCCGUUUGUGAGCCAAGCCUUGCUUUUGCACCGGCCGGGCUCUCUUGCCUGGAAAUGCAUACCCAUCUCAAACCUGGGCUUUAAAAUCACCUCCUCUGGGACGCCUUCCUCUACUUCUCACAGUUCAGGCCUGUUCUGCCCCACACAGCAGAAAAUGCCCACGAUGCAAUACCAGAGUCUGCAUGGGACCAUUUCAACAACCCUUAGAAGCUGACUCAGCUGUCUCCUGGCCCUGACUUUUCUAAGAUGAGAGGAGCUGGAACCCUCAAAGGCUGAGAGUAUCCCACCCACUUCACAGAUGAAGCAAACUGAGGCCCAGAGAAGGGAAAUUACUUGCCCAAGAUCACCCAGCAAGUAAGAAACAGAGCUGGAGAUGAGCUCAGGCCAGCACGGAACCACGCAAACUCCUUCUGUAGGCUUUGUAAAGGAUUGAUGAGAAAAGCAGAUGGUUAAGAGCUCUACAACUUCUGUGAGAUGGAGUCUCACCCUGUCGCCCAGGCUGGAGUGCAAUGGCGCAAUCUCGGCUCACUGCAACCUCCACCUCCCGGUUCAAGCGAUUCUCCUGCCUCCCGAGUAGCUGGGAUUACAGGUGCCCGCCACCACGCCUGGCUCAUUUUUUGUAUCUUCAGUAGAGACGGGGUUUCACCAUGUUGGCCAGGCUGGUCUCCAACUCCUGACCGCCCGCCUUGGCCUCCCAAAGUGCUGGGAUUACAGGCGUGAGCCACCACACCCAGCCAGAUCUGCCUCUUAGAACAAUGCUAUGGAAGUUGAUUUUGGGGAAUGGGUGGAAGAGGCAGAGGUCAGGCAGAGUGUUCAAUAAAGAGGAUCAGACAGGCCAGGUAGGAGAAGCUGAUGCCUAGCCUAGGACAGGGCAGGUAGCUCAGCAAGUGUGAGCACCUCUCAGUGUAAGAGCUGAGGUGGGAGAGGGGCAGAUGGGCUGUGGAGCUGGCCACACUAAAGGCAGCUGUGUGUUUGCAGGGCUCAGGACCAAAGGGAGGCUGAGUCAGGAAGGCACUCCUGGGCUUCUGGCUUGAGCAGGCUCAAAGUCAACAGAUGCAGCUGCAUCUGUGUCUAGCGAUUGGGAAGGUCCACAGCAGGACUCCAGCUCAUACCUGGGAGUCAGGGCAAAGUCCAGCCUAGGGAAGAGCCCCCAAGAGCCAGGCUGGGUGUCAGGUGGGGCCCUUGUCCUGAAGGGAGAAGAGACUACAAGGUAGAGCACCAAGCACACCUGGCUCUGGCACCUUUACGUCUCUGGCCACUUCUCUCUUAUGGCUCCCUGUAACAAUGAGAUACGGACACCUGGAGGCACCUGGGGCUAGUUUCUUCCUCAUACCUGCCCCGCUCCGAUGAGGCUCCCUCCAGGCUCCGCAUCUUGACUUAGUUACAACCUGAUCCUGAGCUGGGACCCAAGGGUGUCCUGCUCCUGGCUCCAAUCUCCUGGUGAGGAUGAACUUUGGUUUGGCUCCACCUGCUCAAGUGCCUUCGGAAGUGUGCCCACCUUGCCAGCCUCGUCAGAAUGCAGUCUCAGGAUGAUGAAAGAGUUCAGGAAAUGCCACCCCAAGGUACGUCACUUUGGACUUCAAACUGAGAGCAUUUGAGGAACAGCAAAUGCAGGGAGGGACUUUCUCUGAACUUCCCUUAUCUGCUUCAAGAUAAAUCCUCCAAAAGGAACUCAAUGGUUAUAACUCCCCUCCCCAGGAACCUCAUCAACCAGAGAAGAGUAAACUCAGAUCACAGGACAGGAGACUGGGGGUCAACACCACCCCCAGACAGACUUUAUCACAUAUCACCUAUUCUUCUGAAGGCCCAUUCAUCUUUCCUCCAAAUCAUUUACUCUCUCCUAAGUUGCCUGAACCCUCCCUCCGCUCACCCCCUUUAAGAGGUAUAUAUGCUCUCACUGAGGUUUAGGACAUUUGCUUUUCUUUCAUGUGAUGCCCCCAUGCAUGUAGUAUAUUUGUGUACCUUUUCUUCUGUAACUCUUUCUUCUACUGUCAGUUUAUUUCAUAGAGUCAAUUACCGAACCCUCAGAGGGUAGAGGGGAAAUCUUCCCUCCCCUGCAGUGAUGCUCUGGGACUGCCAGACACCUGGUGUCUAAUAGACACCAGAACUCACUCCCAACAGCCCAUUUGGGCAAUUAGUCGCUCAUAUGAUAAACAUUUUUUUAAACCCCCAAAGUGUACCAGUCCUUGGACUGAAAGCUGGAUUUACAAGGUCAAAUCAGAUUCAGUCCUUGUGAUAGAAGAGUUCAUAAUACAGUGGAGCCAAACGCAUGAAACAUAACACAGCCUAUUACAACACAACGCGACAUGACAGCUUCACACAUCCCAACACAGGAUACAAGGGCUCAGGUCUGGUUUCUAACUUCUGGGGCCUCAGCUGAGAAAAGGGCAGCUCCCAGUGAAAGGAGGCUUAUUAAUUAGGGAGGGAGCUUAUUGGAAUGUCAGCAGUGGAAUGCAGAGGGGAAGAGACUCUAAGUCAGACUAGCUGCUUCAGUCCUGGCACCAUAAUCUUGGAUGGAUGACAGAACUCUCUGUGCCUUAGUUUCCACAUCUACAAAAUGGAGAGAAUAAUAGUGUGUAUGUCAUAGGGCUUAAGGAUUAAUUGAGAUAAUACACGCAAAGUGCCUGGCACAGUGCCUAGAAGGUAUAGCAAGCACAAUAGCAUUAGCUGUGUGGUUCUUGUUGCCAUAGAAUUAUAGAACCUGAUUAUACUCUUAGGUUCUUGGAGUCAGAGAACUGUAGAAUCAUAGAACCCUAGGACCUUAGAACCUUAGACAUAGAGGUUUAUAAAUAUAUAUAAAUAUAACGUGCACCAGAAUAUUAGCUAGGAGGGUGAAGAAGGGAGAUCUCCCCAUUCCUUCAGAUUGAGGCGAAAUGUCCUCUAAUGCCUGAGUUCCAGGGCUGUCACAUUCAGUUGCUCAGGUUGUACCUAAUAUACCUCUAAAGAAGGCCAUUCACAUAGACUUCGAUGUGAAUGGAGUUCCUUAGACGCAGCAUGACAUGCACCAUUGCGUGAGAAAGCCCACAUUUCUCCCAGAGAAGUCGGCUAAGUCCCAGGGGGCUUACACUUAGUACCAUAAUCUCUGCCUCCAGCAAAACAUGCUGGCUUUGUCCUGAGCCACACUGACCUGAAUGUGAUGAAACUGAAACUUGGAUUCCAUAUAAAAAUAAAAUCACUCCUGCACGUUGUGCACAUGUACCCUAAAAUUUAAAGUAUAAUAAUAAUAAAGUUAAAAAAAUAAAAAUAAAAAAAUAAAAUCACUCUCCUUAAGCAUUCCCAAGAGCAGAUUACACAGAGGUCCAGAAUGUUCUGGAGAGGUAUCACAUCUUGUGAAGCACAGCUUAUUGCUACCCAGAUGUACAAUGAGAUGUGAGCUAUUCCUCCCUGACCUGUCAUCUUUCUGCUCACUUCUCUCCCUCCCUCCCAAUUUGCUCCUCAGGAGCCCAGGCAUAAGCUAUCCCAGGCUCUUGGUGGGGUCUUAACUCAAAGCCCUUAUCAAAGCAUUUUCCUCAACAAAAGUAGUUCCUUUUCCUAACAGGAAUUUGGGCCAUAUGUUUAGGUUGUAAUUUUUGUAUGCCUUAUCAUAUUUAGUGCCACUUAUAAAACCUGAGACUCACAGAAUUUUAAUAGCAAAUAAUCUAAGAAACAAAAAUUUUGGAAUAACCCAGCCUAAGGACCACAAGUUCUAAGAAUUGUGGAGAAUUUCAGAAUCCCAAAAAUCUUAACAAUUAGAAGAGGCCUUAAGGGGUCAUUGAGUCCACACCUUAUUCAACACAGGCAUCUCCUCUGCAACAUUGCUGGCAAGUGCUGAUACUGCCUCUGCAACAACAACAAAAAAGCAUACUUCUGAGAAAAAUUGGAAGACAGCUUGUUAUCUGAACUAUGCGUAGACUUGAAUAAUCUAUUUUUGUUUUUUUUGAGAUGGAGUUUCGCUCUUGUUGCCCAGGCUGGAGUGCAAAGGUGCGAUCUCAGCUCACCGCAACCUCCGCCUCCCAGGUUCAAGCGAUUCUCCUGCCUCAGCCUCCUGAGUAGCUGGAAUUACAGGCAUGCACCACCACACCCAGCUAAGUUUGUAUUUUUGGUAUUCUUUGUAUUUUUAGUUUCUCCACGUUGGUCAGGCUGGCCUCGAACUCCCACCCUCAGGUGAUCCACCUGCCUUGGCCUCCUAAAGUUCUGGGAUUACAGGCAUGAGCCACUGCACCCAACCUGAAUAAUCUAUUAGAGUCUUUAUCUCUAAGAAGAGAAAUACAUCUGAACUAAAGGGUAAAAAAUGGCAUGUUUUAAUUGGUAAGUCUAAAUGCAAAACGAUGACAAUAAAAUUUUAAAGGACUGCUUCCUUCUUAAGCUUUAUUUUCGUCCUCUGUCAGUGUAUUGCUAGACUCAUCUUUCCCAGACACCCAGACCUCCCACGAGAGUAUGUACAUUCCAUUUGGCUUGAUUUCAAGUGCUAAUGUAUAAAGCUUCUGGGUUCUGGGUCUGGCAAGCUAUUUCUCAUGUUCUCUGAUAAAAUAUUGAAAACCAUCUCUAAGGUCUUCCAAGAGGGGAUAUGUGGAAGAUACAUUUCAAUUUUCCACUGCAUUUCAACCUUAAUAUAAUGUGAUUAGCUACAGCAUUGAAAAUUAGCUUAAUACUGGCCCAUCUUAUUAUAGGGGCCAAGGAAAAACUUUCCCUUUAUCCUCUGAAGGUCCACUGUAAUCAACUGACACAAAAGGCAGAUUAAUAGAAGAAAAGGCAUAACCAUUUUAUUUUAAUGUACAUAGCACAGGAGAACUGAAGGAGAAUGAUUACCCUGCUAUCUUAAUUUAAUUCCAAUGUGGUCUGAGAGCAGACAUUGUAUGGUUUCUAUUAUUAUAAAUUGGUUAAGCUGUGCUUUAUGGCCCAGAAUGCAGCCUGUCUUAGUGAAUGUUCUGUGGGAGCUUGAGACGAAUGUGUUUUCUGCUGUUGCUGGAUGAAGUAUUCUAUAGACACCAAUUAUAUCCAGUUGAUUGAUGGUGUUGUUGAGUUCAACUAUGUUCUUACUGAUUUUCUGCCUGCUGAAUCUGUCCAUUUCUCAGAGGGAUGCUGAAGUCUUCAGCUAUACUAGUGGAUUCAUCUAUUUCUCCUUGUAGGUCUGUCAGUUUUUGCCUCCAUAGUUUGCUGCUCUGUUGUUAGGCACAUACCCAUUAAGGAUUUAACUAUGUCUUCUUGGAGAAUUGACCCAUUUAUCAUUAUGUAAUGUCUCUCUUUAUCCCUGAUAAUUUUCCUUGCUCAGAAGUCUGCUCUGAAAUGAAUAUCGCUACUCUCACAUUCUUUUCAUUAGUGUUAACCUGUUAUAUCUUUCUCCAUCUCUUUACUUUUAAUCUAUA